rnacentral:lncRNA from 1 species
AUGGGGCCCCCGCAGGGCGCCGGGCACCCGAGCACGACUGGCGGCCGGCCGCGCGCCCAGCAGAGGAGCCGGGGGGCCGAGCGCGGCCGCAGCCCAGCGGCGCCGGCGCCGGAGCGAGUGGCCCGGUGGGCUCGACGCGGCAGCGACAGCGACAGCGACAGCGACAGCGUCGGCCCUUGGCCGGCCCCGCGCGGCGCCUCCCGCUCCAGCCCGGCUCCCCCGGGUCUCCCCGGCCCUGCCCCGAGCGUCGGGGGCGCCUGCCGCUCUCUGGCCCGGGCCGACCCCGCUCCUCGCCGCGGCCGGCAGGGCUGGGAGUCGCGAGAAGCAGCGGCCGCCUCCGGGGCGGGAUCCCGGAGAGACACCCCCGGCGAGCUGCGGCUCUCCCCGCGGGGCCCGGAGCGAGCAGGCGGGCGGCGGGAGGCUCGCCCGACCCGGCGGCUGGCGCGGACCUCGACGCCCCCCCCCGCCCCGCGCACACACACGCGCACACACACACACACGCGCACACGCGCGCGCCCCGGGCGCAGGCUCCCAACGCCCCCUCCCCGCGGGGAUCCUUCAGGGCCUCCGGGAGAGACGGACAGAAGGACGGGAAAAGCACACGGAGGGAAACUUGUUCCUCCCAGUCUCCUGUCAGGCAGUUAUUGGCGAGCCCGUGAGGCAGAGGGGAGGGCGGAAGCGAGGGAAGGGCUCCAGGAGGGGCGGGGGAGGCGGGGGGGGGGCGGAGGCGCAGGCGGGGGUGCAGUUGCUGAAAGUCCUGUCUCCCGCUCAUCUUUCCGUUGCUCGCUCCUCUCCUUCGCGCAGACACCCCGGACCUCCCCUGGGCGCCAGCUCCUCGGCUCCAACCGGUCCAGAAACCAGCUUUUUUUUUUUUUUUUUUCCUUUCUGGAAAUUGGCUUUGGUGUGUUUCCCCACCUCCCUUCUCCUCCCCCGUCGGGCCCCCCCCCUUUUUUUUUGAGACAUGGCCCGGGCAGUGGCUCCUGGAAGAGGAACAAGUGUGGGAAAAGAGAGAGGAAACCGGAGCUAAAUGACAGGAUGCAGGCGACUUGA